UUCCUAAAGAUAAAUAUUUUAGGUAAUGCCUGCCCGGUGAAUUUUUAACGGCCGCGGUAAUUUGACCGUGCUAAGGUAGCAUAAUCAUUUGUCUUUUAAUUGAAGACUGGAAUGAAAGGUAAAACGAGAAAUAAGCUGUCUUUAUAAAAUAAAUUGAAUUUUAUUUUUUAGUGAAAAAGCUGAAAUGAUUUUGUGGGACGAUAAGACCCUAUAGAUCUUAUUUAUUGGGGCGAUGAAAAGAAAUAAAUAUCUCUUUUAUAAUAAAAAUAUAAAUAAAUAGAUUGUAUUUGGAUCCUAUCAGGUGGAUUAAUAGAAUAAGUUACCUUAGGGAUAACAGCGUAAUAUUUUUUGAGAGUUCUUAUCGAAAAAAAUGUUUGCGACCUCGAUGUUGGAUUAAGAUAUUAUUAUGGUGCAGAAUUUAUAAUUAUUAGUCUGUUCGACUAUUAAAAUCUUACA
rnacentral:rRNA from 1 species